rnacentral:lncRNA from 1 species
UACAACCCAAACUGUUAAUCUUCAAUACUGCUUUGUACUUACGAUCUUGUAUCCACUGACUGUCUUGUUAGAUUAACCCUAUAAAUUUCAUUCAUUCCGCAUACUCAACCCUAUAGACAUCCUUUUAAUCCUUCAAUCACAAACGUAACUCGAUUUCACAAAACAGUCAAGAGUAUUCAAAUCCACUUCAUUUAAAAAUCCCGAUUCACCAUUACAA